CUUUACCGAGACAGCCGCAGACCACUGCGGCUGCGUGGUCAUUUUCGUGCACUGCAAAGAUUUUAGCAAGCUAACGCGAAAAUGGACAGCGAUGUUUCAUUACAAUAUGGGACGAAAGACUGUUAAUGAAUCAGCCGUGUGUCAAGAUACAUAUAAAAGUGUAAAGAGCACACAUGGCUGUGCACGACCCCAGAGUGAACCUUAUUGUGACCAGAGGGAGACAGCUGGGGAGGAGCCUGCUGCUGCUCGCCCACUACACCUCUGUGUUCGCGGCCUUCGUGGGCCGCUCUGUGCAGUGGAUGGUGGAGGCGCUCCGCUGGCUCUGCCUCUUUGCCCGCUACACCACCUCCAUGUUUGACUCCAUCUACAACGUGUUGACCUGGGGCCGGAGGAGAAGUGCCCCCGGGGUCAGAGAGGUGUCUCCAGCCCCUGACCUAAAGCCAGGGGGAUAAUAAAGUAAACAGGAGACUUUUGAUAUUGUUAUCAUCCUACAUGAAGGAUAACGAUGCCUUAUGAAGUCGGUUCUUUUAACACUAAUCCUGUGUUAGGCCAUUAUAAGGCCUAUUUUUAUCGAGUGAAACUCUAAUGAAGGUCUGGACUCACUGGGCUAUAGUUUGGCAGUUUGAAGUCAUUUCUUUAUAGGUGCCAUGAUACAAUUAAUGAUGCAAUGUUUACAAGUAUGAUCAUGCAACCUUAGCCAUGCUGCAGUCCACACAAAUAUUUAACUCUAAGAAGAUGCAUUUCUUUAAAAAAAGUAACAAAAAGUUACCAAAGUUUUGAUUUGUAUUUUUAUAUAACUAUAUAUCUUUUGUAUUGUUUAUUGUGGCAGUGUGCCACAUGAAUACGAUUGAAGAGGAACAAAUCACUAGAGAUUUUCUUUUACUGUGGUAUGUCUUUAAAACCCUUUUGCAUGUUUAUAUUUUUAAUGAGUUGUACUGUGUUAUGUAUUGACACUGAAAACUACUUUCUGACAAUUUCAGCAGUGGCACUAAACCUAAAAUGGAUGAAUGAAGUAUUUUUAAUCUUUGUAAUUUUUAUUUUAUUUUUGUAUUAACAUAUUAUUGUACCUAAUAUAGGCUACAUUUAUUUUUGUUAUGCUAAAUGUACUUAACAUACAUGAACAAUCCUUCACUUGGUUGGAGUUAUGUAAUUUUUGAAAUUCUACUAACAUUUUGCUUUGAGUGCUGUGAAGGUGAAAAAGCGCUGUAUAAAAAUGUAACCUUUUAUCUUUCUAUUAGUAACAACCUCAUGAUCCCAUAUUUGUGUUAAAUAAACACUUGUUUUUUUUCAACAA